UACGUAGGGUGCGAGCGUUGUCCGGAUUUAUUGGGCGUAAAGGGCUCGUAGGCGGCUUGUCGCGUCGGGAGUGAAAGCCCGCUGCUUAACGGCGGGUUUGCUUUCGGUACGGGCAGGCUGGAGUACGGCAGGGGAGACUGGAAUUCCUGGUGUAGCGGUGGAAUGCGCAGAUAUCAGGAAGAACACCCGUGGCUAAGGCGGCCCUCUAGUACGGUACUGACGCUGAGACGCGAAAGCGUGGGGAGCGAACAGG
rnacentral:rRNA from 1 species